rnacentral:rRNA from 1 species
CAACAGGGAUUGCCCUAGUAACGGCGAGUGAAGCGGCAACAGCUCAAAUUUGAAAUCUGGCCUCCUUUGGUGGUCCGAGUUGUAAUUUGCAGAGGGUGCUUUGGCGUCGGCAGCGGUCUAAGUUCCUUGGAACAGGACAUCGCAGAGGGUGAGAAUCCCGUACGUGGUCGCCUGCCUUCGCCGUGUAAAGCCCCUUCGACGAGUCGAGUUGUUUGGGAAUGCAGCUCUAAAUGGGAGGUAAAUUUCUUCUAAAGCUAAAUACCGGCCAGAGACCGAUAGCGCACAAGUAGAGUGAUCGAAAGAUGAAAAGCACUUUGGAAAGAGAGUCAAACAGCACGUGAAAUUGUUGAAAGGGAAGCGCUUGCAGCCAGACUUGCUCGUAGUUGCUCAUCUGGGCUUUUGCCCAGAGCACUCUUCUGCGGGCAGGCCAGCAUCAGUUUGGGCGACCGGAUAAAGGCCUCUGUCAUGUAUCUUCCUUCGGGAUGACCUUAUAGGGGAGGCGUAAUGCGGCCAGCCCGGACUGAGGUCCGCGCAUCUGCUAGGAUGCUGGCGUAAUGGCUGUAAGCGGCCCGUCUUGAAACACGGACCAAGGAGUCUAACAUCUAUGCGAGUGUUUGGGUGUCAAGCCCGGGCGCGUAAUGAAAGUGAACGGAGGUGGGAACCCUCUUUGGGGGUGCACCAUCGACCGAUCCUGAUGUCUUCGGAUGGAUUUGAGUAAGAGCAUAGCUGUUGGGACCCGAAAGAUGGUGAACUAUGCUUGAAUAGGGUGAAGCCAGAGGAAACUCUGGUGGAGGCUCGCAGCGGUUCUGACGUGCAAAUCGAUCGUCAAAUUUGGGCAUAGGGGCGAAAGACUAAUCGAACUAUCUAGUAGCUGGUUCCUGCCGAAGUCCCUCCUCCGGGAAAAAAAAAAACCAGCCUACUAGAAUAGUUCGAUUAGUCUUUCGCCCUAUGCCAAAUUUGACGAUCGAUUUGCACGUCAGAACGCUGCGAGCUCACAGAGUUUCUCUGGCUUCACCUUAUUCAAGCAUAGUUCACAUCUUUUCGGAUCCAACAGCUAUGCCUU